GACGAACGCUGGCGGCGUGCCUAAUACAUGCAAGUUGAGCGCUGAAGGUUGGUACUUGUACCAACUGGAUGAGCAGCGAACGGGUGAGUAUCGCGUGGGGAAUCUGCCUUUUAGCGGGGGACAACAUUUGGAAACGAAUGCUAAUACCGCAUAAAAACUUUAAACACAAGUUUUAAGUUUGAAAGAUGCAAUUGCAUCACUCAAAGAUGAUCCCGCGUUGUAUUAGCUAGUUGGUGAGGUAAAGGCUCACCAAGGCGAUGAUACAUAGCCGACCUGAGAGGGUGAUCGGCCACAUUGGGACUGAGACACGGCCCAAACUCCUACGGGAGGCAGCAGUAGGGAAUCUUCGGCAAUGGACGAAAGUCUGACCGAGCAACGCCGCGUGAGUGAAGAAGGUUUUCGGAUCGUAAAACUCUGUUGGUAGAGAAGAACGUUGGUGAGAGUGGAAAGCUCAUCAAGUGACGGUAACUACCCAGAAAGGGACGGCUAACUACGUG
rnacentral:rRNA from 1 species